AUAAACUUUCGGAGCUCCUGCGAUAUUUUCUAGGAUUUUUCUUCUCCUUCAUCUAAACUGAAACGAUUUACAGAUCCAUAUUGAUUUGAGGUAAAUAGGUUUAGCAGCUACAUAUUCAAUCAAUCGAUUUUGAAUCUAGGUUUCAUUUGUUCAAAGCUAUUUCAGAAGAAAGCCGAAUGGAAAGAGAUUAAUAAAGAGAACUUCUGAAAUGGUUAAAAGCUUUCUUUCACCGAUGAGAAAAAACGAAGAAAAUCGUCAAUCAAUACUUAAAUCUACAGAUUCAUCAACGAAAAUGAUGAUAAAGAUAAGUUCAUUCUUCUAAUCUUAUUUAAUUUGAUUGAAAUUCCUCAUUCAGUGAUUUCUAAAUGGAAUUAAAGAAGAAAAAAUUUGGUUCUUGAAAACUUAAUAUCUCAGAUUUCGUAAAGAAUUUGUUAUCUAAUUUCUGACAAAAGUUUGGAUCCAUCGUCGUCCCAUCUUAAUCUCUCUUUUGAGAAAAUGAUUCUGAAAAAAAAAAUUGCGAAAGUUUUUGUUAGGGUUACUGCCAGAGAUUUGAUCGAUCUAUUUGUCCUCAUUUUUUAUCAAUAAUUGUUCUUCAAAUUCAGCAUCAGUGAACUUUAAUAUCUAUUACCCUUCGAAUCAAUUUAAUUUCAUUACCUUUUUAAUUUGCAUGCACAUCAUAUUUUAUAUAUAUGUUCAACUGAAAUUUGUUUUAGUUGUUUGAAACAUUCGAAUUGUAUUAACCUAUGAACUUUAAAUGUUAAUCUGAAACCUACUGAUUUUAUAACUUUUUAUGUUACAGUUGACAUGUUAAAUUAGCUAAAUUAAGAAGAACUUAGCAUUAUAUAAUAAAUGCAGGACAACAUAGCAACUUUAUGAUUGAAAAAGAAUACACAGAUGCAGGUCUUGAAGUUCAUCCUUCAAUAAACUUGUGUGUUUCAAGUUUCAGUAACAAUCUUGCUCAAAUAGAUAAGAUGCAUGCUCUGUGAUUCUCUUACCUUAAAGUCAAUCUAAACUUGUGUACCCCCUAACUUGGGUACUUGAAUACGCGCUAAUAAUGCACAACUGAGAACAACUUUUAUUACACUACACAAAAAUAUAAGUGUUCAUUUACAAUUUGUUUCUAUAUAAUUUUAUAAUGCUUGUUUAUGAAUGCAAGUUUCUGAGUUUCAAUUGAUAAGUCAUGAAGAAAGUAUAUCUACAGCGUUUUUAUUUUUCAAUUGCUAUGGUAGUAUUGAGCAAAUGAAGUUGUUGAAAAAAACUUAUUAAUGACUCUAUACAUUUGUUUACGUGUAUGUAUGGAUUACCAGGAGUGAUGGUAUUGAUAUCAAUACCGGAAGAUGAGGAUGGCGCUGUCGAAUGUGCUUCAGGUCUCUCUAAGGAAAUGUUCCGUUUAUGUGUUGGCUUAUGAAGUAUCUACCUUUGGAGGAGAUAAGGAUGGUGCUCCAGAUGAGUAUGAGCUCCAAUUUAGGUCCAGAAUCUUGACUAGAAUAAAAUUGCUUUAUUGGGAGUAAACAGUUGGUAAUGGUGGUGGUAUUGGAUCUAAUGGAGGUUAGGUAGAGCUAAAGAAUUUUCAUCUUUGUCUCUUGAAGUUAUUGUACUUAAUGUUGGUGUAGGGAAUGAUAUGCAAAGGAUCUGCAGGAAAAGUGAAGAGAUAAUUAGAAAACCAAGCACCUAUUCUAUGAUUCCAAGGUAUCUCUGAUGAAACUAUGUUAUUUGAAGCGUGAAAAGCUGGCCCUCUCUUCUUAUGAAAAAAUGGCUUAAGCUGCAAAUUGAAGUUAAUGAUCGAGAAUUUAGAGCAACUUUUCCUGAAACAACAAAAAUGGUCUGCUUGUUGUCAAUGAUGAUCGUGGCGAUGAGUUAAUGCCACUGAGAGCAAAUCCAGAUACCCUUGUCUCUGCCUAUAGAUAUGCAGGCAUUUUGGAGUCAAGAAGACAAGAAGGAAAGGCAAAGAUUUAAACUUCAUAAAAGCUAAUUGCUUAAAUCUGAAUACACAAAUCAUAUGCAUGUGUAACUCUCAAUUACACUAGAUAGAUGCAUAUGUAACUCUCAAUUACACUAGACAGAUGCGUGGGUAACUAGAAGUUACACAUGCUAAGAAAUUAUUGUAAAUGAAUAUUAAAGUAAUACAUGUAUUUUUAAUAAUUUUGGGCUUAGUUUUAAAUUUUAUUUAAUUAGGGGCUUAGUUUUAAAUUUUAUUUAAUUAGGGGCUUGACAAUAUAUGUAAUGGUAUGAAUGUCUUUUAAUAAUUUGGGCCUAGAUUAAAAUUUCUUUUAA